GGGCAGCGGUGGGUUAGAGCCGCAGAACAGUCCAGUGCCCCGUAGGCCAGAGGGCUUCCGGUCCGGCCCCAUCCCGCCCAGAGGCGCUGCUCUAUCAGUGCCUUUGAGAGUUCCAUGGGCCAAGCCCCAACAGCAGCUGAGCCUUUGGAGAGCAGCCCUGACACCUGUCCCAGGAGACAAGUCCUGUGCAGGGAAAGGACUUCCGUCUGGGCUGGUUUGGGCUGCAGAAGGGUUCCAGGCUUAUACUCCUUUGCUGGAGGGAUUUUUCCAGAAGCUGAAUGAAGGCACUGCUCUUCCUGUAAGACCCUAAACUCCAUGCAGGAGAGGAAGGGAGAGAGCCAUACCUCCCAUGACGGGAAGAGUGAGACGAACAAUUCUCUUUGAGAAUGGCCGAAUGGAUGACUGUUGGCAGUUGCUGAGCCUAGCGAAACCAGACCUAAAUGUAGCCAUGUGGUAGGAUGGUUCCCUCAAGCACAUUUUCUAAAAAUUUGGCCUUUUGAACCAUUUUAAGCCAUGUAUUAGCAUAGCUUCUGUGAAGAAUAGGGCAAAAAGGGGAGAGUAUGAGAUACAUCAUAGAGUAGACAAUGAUGCCCACUCCCCCACCACCUAAGGGUGACAUGGGCUCUAUCCUUAAGCAUUACCCUGAAUGGGGAGGGGUGGUCUGUCUGCAUCUAAGAUUGAAACCUGCAGUGUGGCUGUUCCCCGGGAGCUGUGAACAGACCUCAGAGUGAUGGCUGAGUGGUGUACCUGGUAGCCAGCACCCAGCCACGGCCGUCCCUGCUCUGGCACGGACUCCUGUGUCUACAGGUGUUAGGAAAACAGCGGAAUACUUCUGAGCUGCCUGCCGUCCUGAGCCUCCUCGUCCGUCUAAGGCCCGAGAGACUGUAGGGAUGCUUGCAGCAGCUCCCAUGGACCUGGGACCAGAGGCCCUGUGUUCUCAGAAUCCUCUCAAACCCCUGGGCUUCCAGUGCAAACCUAGGAUCUGGAAUUUCCUGCUCCUCUGGCAGGAUGAGAGCUUAGCACUGAAUUCAAG
ensembl:lncRNA